CGAGCCCGCCGGAACGGGGGGCGGGCGAGGGGACAGAAGGAAAGCCCGCCGGAGGGGGGAGGAUCCGAGGAAAUGGCAGCGGCUCAGGAUAUAGCACUUUCCUCGAGUCCAAAGUUUCCUGACUGCUUGGAAGUUCUGACAAUAUACUUCUUCCUGUGCCAAUUUGGAUAAUCCAAACUUUUUGACUUGACCCAUCAAGGACAAUUAGAUGUUGCAAAAGAAAUCAAAUAACUUCCCUGUAUUG